GACGAACGCUGGCGGCGUGCUUAACACAUGCAAGUCGAGCGGUAAGGCCCUUUCGGGGGUACACGAGCGGCGAACGGGUGAGUAACACGUGGGUGACCUGCCCUCAGCUCUGGGAUAAGCCUGGGAAACCGGGUCUAAUACCGGAUAUGACUCCAUGACGCAUGUUGUGGGGUGAAAGCCUUGUGCGGCUGAGGAUGGGCCCCGNGGCCUAUCAGCUUGUUGGUGGGGUGAUGGCCUACCAAGGCGACGACGGGUAGCCGGCCUGAGAGGGCGACCGGCCACACUGGGACUGAGACACGGCCCAGACUCCUACGGGAGGCAGCAGGUGGGGAAUCUUGCGCAAUGGGCGAAAGCCUGACGCAGCGACGCCGCGUGAGGGAUGACGG
rnacentral:rRNA from 1 species